rnacentral:rRNA from 1 species
UUUAUGGAGAGUUUGAUCCUGGCUCAGGACGAACGCUGGCGGCGUGCCUAAUACAUGCAAGUCGAGCGGACAGAUGGGAGCUUGCUCCCUGAAGUUAGCGGCGGACGGGUGAGUAACACGUGGGCAACCUGCCCUGCAGAUGGGGAUAACUCCGGGAAACCGGGGCUAAU